AUUCAGAUGAUGAGUCCCAAAUAAAACGAAACGUGCGUCAUGGAU
rnacentral:hammerhead_ribozyme from 1 species